rnacentral:rRNA from 1 species
GAUGAACGCUAGCGGGAGGCUUAACACAUGCAAGUCGAGGGGCAGCACGGGUAGCAAUACUUGGUGGCGACCGGCAGACGGGUGAGUAACGCGUAUGUAACCUACCCCAUACAGAGGGAUAACCCGGAGAAAUUCGGACUAAUACCUCAUAACACCAUGAGAGGGCAUCUGAUUAUGGUUAAAGUUCCGGCGGUAUGGGCUGGGCAUGCGUAACAUUAGCUAGUUGGUAGGGUAAAGGCCUACCAAGGCUACGAUGUUUAGGGGUCCUGAGAGGGUGGUCCCCCACACUGGUACUGAGACACGGACCAGACUCCUACGGGAGGCAGCAGUGAGGAAUAUUGGUCAAUGGGCGCAAGCCUGAACCAGCCAUCCCGCGUGCAGGAAGACGGCCCUAUGGGUUGUAAACUGCUUUUCCAGGGGACGAAUAGUUUCUACGUGUAGAGACAUGACGGUACCUUGGGAAUAAGCAUCGGCUAACUCCGUG